UAAGGCUUCAACCACUGUUUUCACCAUAGCAGCGGGGCCAUUCAGCUCAUAAAUGAGGUACAAAUGAAGUUGUCUCCCCACUAAGGCUUCAACCACUGUUUUCACCAUAGCAACGGGGCCAUUCAGCUCAUAAAUGAGGUACAAAUGAAGUUGUCUCCCCGCUAAGGCUUCAACCACUGUUUUCACCAUAGCAACGGGGCCAUUCAGCUCAUAAAUGAGGUACAAAUGAAGUUGUCUCCCCACUAAGGCUUCAACCACUGUUUUCACCAUAGCAGCCGGGCCAUUCAGCUCAUCAAUCUGUAAGUCGCUCUGGAUAAGAGCGUCUGCUAAAUGACUUAAAUGUAAAUCUCAUAAAUGAGCUACAAAUGAAGUUGUCUCCCCACUAAGGCUUCAACCACUGUUUUCACCAUAGCAACGGGGCCAUUCAGCUCAUAAAUGAGCUAUAAAUGAAGUUGUCUCCCCACUAAGGCUUCAACCACUGUUUUCACCAUAGCAGCCGGGCCAUUCAGCUCAUAAAUGAGGUACAAAUGAAGUUGUCUCCCCACUAAGGCUUCAACCACUGUUUUCAUCAUCGCAACGGGGCCAUUAAGCUCAUAAAUGAGGUACAAAUGAAGUUGUCUCCCCACUAAGGCUUCAACCACUGUUUUCACCAUAGCAGCCGGGCCAUUCAGCUCAUUAAUGAGCAAAAUGGUUCUUCAAAGGGUUCGCCUAUGAGGACAGUCCAAUAACCCUUUUAGGUUCUAGACAGUACAUUUCUUUCUAAGAGUGAAGUGGGCAAGCUUACAAAACAAAUACAUUUAGAUAGAUUUUAUGCAAUUGCUUGUCAUAUAGAAUAUAUUCAUUAUAUUUCUAUCAAAACAUUCAGAUAGAAAUGUAUAGCAUAUACAGUAAUAUAGGGCUUUCAUUGU